rnacentral:snRNA from 1 species
GUGCUCAUUUUGACAGCACACAAACUAAAAUUGGAAUGGCGCAGAGACUAGCAUAGUCCUUUUGUAAGGAUGACAUGGGUAGCAUCCCAUGUUUUG